UGAGGAACAUGACCUUCGGCGGGGGGAGUAGCCGGCCCAACGGCCGGGUAAUACCGCGUACGACCAUUUGGGGACAUCCCUGAUUGGUGAAAGCAGCAAUGCGCCGAAAGAGUGUCACGCGGCCUAUCAGCUAGUUGGUGGGGUAAUGGCUCACCAAGGCAACGACGGGUAGCUGGUCUGAGAGGAUGGCCAGCCACAUUGGGACUGAGACACGGCCCAGACUCCUACGGGAGCAG
rnacentral:rRNA from 1 species